AGAGUUUGAUCCUGGCUCAGGAUGAACGCUAGCGACAGGCUUAACACAUGCAAGUCGAGGGGCAGCGGGGGUAGCAAUACCCGCCGGCGACCGGCGCACGGGUGAGUAACGCGUAUGCAACUUACCUAUCAGAGGGGGAUAACCCGGCGAAAGUCGGACUAAUACCGCAUGAAGCAGGGGCCCCGCAUGGGGAUAUUUGCUAAAGAUUCAUCGCUGAUAGAUAGGCAUGCGUUCCAUUAGGCAGUUGGCGGGGUAACGGCCCACCAAACCGACGAUGGAUAGGGGUUCUGAGAGGAAGGUCCCCCACAUUGGUACUGAGACACGGACCAAACUCCUACGGGAGGCAGCAGUGAGGAAUAUUGGUCAAUGGCCGAGAGGCUGAACCAGCCAAGUCGCGUGAGGGAUGAAGGUUCUAUGGAUCGUAAACCUCUUUUAUAAGGGAAUAAAGUGUGGGACGUGUCCUAUUUUGUAUGUACCUUAUGAAUAAGGAUCGGCUAACUCCGUGCCAGCAGCCGCGGUAAUACGGAGGAUCCGAGCGUUAUCCGGAUUUAUUGGGUUUAAAGGGUGCGUAGGCGGCCUUUUAAGUCAGCGGUGAAAGUCUGUGGCUCAACCAUAGAAUUGCCGUUGAAACUGGGGGGCUUGAGUAUGUUUGAGGCAGGCGGAAUGCGUGGUGUAGCGGUGAAAUGCAUAGAUAUCACGCAGAACCCCGAUUGCGAAGGCAGCCUGCCAAGCCAUUACUGACGCUGAUGCACGAAAGCGUGGGGAUCAAACAGGAUUAGAUACCCUGGUAGUCCACGCAGUAAACGAUGAUCACUAGCUGUUUGCGAUACACUGUAAGCGGCACAGCGAAAGCGUUAAGUGAUCCACCUGGGGAGUACGCCGGCAACGGUGAAACUCAAAGGAAUUGACGGGGGCCCGCACAAGCGGAGGAACAUGUG
rnacentral:rRNA from 1 species